CCUACGGGUGGCAGCAGUGGGGAAUAUUGGACAAUGGGGGCAACCCUGAUCCAGCCAUGCCGCGUGUGUGAAGAAGGCCCUCGGGUUGUAAAGCACUUUCAGUGAGGAAGAACGCCUGGUGGUUAAUACCCAUCAGGAAAGACAUCACUCACAGAAGAAGCACCGGCUAACUCCGUGCCAGCAGCCGCGGUAAUACGGAGGGUGCGAGCGUUAAUCGGAAUUACUGGGCGUAAAGCGCGCGUAGGUGGCUUGAUAAGCCGGUUGUGAAAGCCCCGGGCUCAACCUGGGAACGGCAUCCGGAACUGUCAAGCUAGAGUGCAGGAGAGGAAGGUAGAAUUCCCGGUGUAGCGGUGAAAUGCGUAGAGAUCGGGAGGAAUACCAGUGGCGAAGGCGGCCUUCUGGACUGACACUGACACUGAGGUGCGAAAGCGUGGGUAGCAAACAGGGUUAGAUACCCCUGUAGUC
rnacentral:rRNA from 1 species